ensembl:snoRNA U3 Small nucleolar RNA U3
CAGACUAUGUUUUCAGGGAUCAUUUCUAUAGCUCAUGAUGAAAGAAGUUUCUCUGAAUGUGAAGAGCAUCCAAAACUCUAGCAAGCUUAGUGUUCCCUCCGGAGUGUGAAGCUUCUUUUUGGUGUUGGUUCUACAACUGUCAUUUGCCAUUGAUGAUCAUUCUUCUCUUCCUUUGGGGAGCAAGAGGGAGAGGACACUGCCUGA